GAUGAACGCUGGCGGCGUGCCUAAUACAUGCAAGUCGAGCGAACAGACGAGGAGCUUGCUCCUCUGACGUUAGCGGCGGACGGGUGAGUAACACGUGGAUAACCUACCUAUAAGACUGGGAUAACUUCGGGAAACCGGAGCUAAUACCGGAUAAUAUAUUGAACCGCAUGGUUCAAUAGUGAAAGACGGUUUUGCUGUCACUUAUAGAUGGAUCCGCGCCGCAUUAGCUAGUUGGUAAGGUAACGGCUUACCAAGGCAACGAUGCGUAGCCGACCUGAGAGCGUGAUCGCCCACACUGGAACUGAGACUCGUUCCACACUCCUACGGGAGGCAGCAGUAGGGAAUCUUCCGCGAUGGGCGAGAGCCUGACGUAGCAACGCCGCGUGAGUGAUGAAGGUCUUCGGAUCGUUAAACUCUGUUAUUAGGGAAGAACAAAUGUGUAAGUAACUAUGCACGUCUUGACGGUACCUAAUCAGAAAGCCCCGGCUAACUCCGUG
rnacentral:rRNA from 1 species